rnacentral:piRNA from 1 species
UGUUAUAACUGGGUGGUACUACUGCUGCUU